UACGGGGGGCAAGCGUUGUUCGGAAUUACUGGGCGUAAAGGGUUCGUAGGUGGCCUACUAAGUCAGACGUGAAAUCCCUCAGCUCAACUGGGAACUGCGUCUGAGACUGGAAGGCUUGAGUGCAGGAGAGGAACGCGGAAUUCCAGGUGUAGCGGUGAAAUGCGUAGAUAUCUGGAAGGAACACCGGUGGUGAAGGCGGCGUUCUGGACUGUUACUGACACUGA
rnacentral:rRNA from 1 species